rnacentral:rRNA from 1 species
CCUACGGGAGGCAGCAGUAAGGAAUUUUGCACAAUGGGCGAAAGCCUGAUGCAGCAACGCCGCGUGAACGAUGAAGUUUUUAGGAAUGUAAAGUUCUGUCGUAUGGGAAGAGAUCUUUCGAGUGUUAAUACCAUUCGUUAAUGACGGUACCAUACAAGAAAGCCCCGGCUAACUUCGUGCCAGCAGCCGCGGUAAU